rnacentral:rRNA from 1 species
UACGGAAGGGGGCUAGCGUUGCUCGGAAUCACUGGGGCGUAAAGCGCACGUAGGCGGGUCGUUAAGUCGGGGGUGAAAUCCUGGAGCUCAACUCCAGAACUGCCUUUGAAUACUGAGGAUCUUGAGUUCGGGAGAGGUGAGUGGAACUGCGAGUGUAGAGGUGAAAUUCGUAGAUAUUCGCAAGAACACCAGUGGCGAAGGCGGCUCACUGGCCCGGUACUGACGCUGAGGUGCGAAAGCGUGGGGAGCAAACAGGG